UACUGUGAGGACGGUGCCCUGGGCCAGAGUUCCAGGACCUUGGAGGGACCAGCAGGCCCAGCCCUGCCUUAGGUUUCCUUGUUGUGCUCAUUUCAUAUGAAUGGAAUUAUAAAAUAUGUAGCCCUUUGUGACUGGCUUCUUUCACUCAGCAUAAUGUUUUCCAGAUUCAUCCACAUCGUAGCAUGGAUCAGUACUUCAUUCCUAUUCAGGUUGUCUUUUCACUUUCUUAAUGGUGUCUGCUGAAUGUGUCCCCUCAAAAUUCAUAUGUUGAAACCCUGAUGUCCAAUGUGAUGAUAAUAGGAUGUGGGACCAUUAGGAGGUGCUUGGAUUGUAAGAGUGGAGACCUCGUGAAUGGGAUUAUGCUCUUAUAGAAGAGAUCCCACAGAGCUCCCUAGUUCCUUCUGCCAUGUGAGGAUACGCUGAGAAGUGUGCAACUCAGAAGAAGGCCCUCACCCGACCAUGCUAGCACCCUGAUCUCAGACUUCUAGCCUCCAGAACUGUAAUAAACAAAUUUCUGUCAUUUAUAAGUUUCCCAGUGUGUGGUAUUUUGUUAUAGCACCUGGAAUGGAUUAAGACAACGUC
rnacentral:lncRNA from 1 species